CAGCAGCCGCGGGAAUACGUAGGUGGCAAGCGUUGUCCGGAUUUAUUGGGCGUAAAGCGAGCGCAGGCGGUUUCUUAAGUCUGAUGUGAAAGCCCCCGGCUCAACCGGGGAGGGUCAUUGGAAACUGGGAGACUUGAGUGCAGAAGAGGAGAGUGGAAUUCCAUGUGUAGCGGCGAAAUGCGUAGAUAUAUGGAGGAACACCAUUGGCGAAGGCGGCUAACUGGUCCAUAACUGACGCUGAGGUGCGAAAGCGUGGGGAGCAAACAGGAUUAGAUACCCCUGUAGUCCCUGUCUCUUAUAC
rnacentral:rRNA from 1 species